CUACGUGCCAGCAGCCGCGGUAAUACGGAAGGUCCGGGCGUUAUCCGGAUUUAUUGGGUUUAAAGGGAGCGUAGGCCGGAGAUUAAGUGUGUUGUGAAAUGUAGACGCUCAACGUCUGACUUGCAGCGCAUACUGGUUUCCUUGAGUACGCACAACGUUGGCGGAAUUCGUCGUGUAGCGGUGAAAUGCUUAGAUAUGACGAAGAACUCCGAUUGCGAAGGCAGCUGACGGGGGCGCAACUGACGCUUAAGCUCGAAGGUGCGGGUAUCGAACAGGAUUAGAUACCCUGGUAGUCCGCACAGUAAACGAUGGAUGCCCGCUGUUGGUACCUGGUAUCAGCGGCUAAGCGAAAGCAUUAAGCAUCCCACCUGGGGAGUACGCCGGCAACGGUGAAACUCAAAGGAAUUGACGGGGGCCCGCACAAGCGGAGGAACAUGUGGUUUAAUUCGAUGAUACGCGAGGAACCUUACCCGGGCUUGAA
rnacentral:rRNA from 1 species